rnacentral:rRNA from 1 species
ACACAUGCAAGUCGAGGGGAAACGACAUCGAAAGCUUGCUUUUGAUGGGCGUCGACCGGCGCACGGGUGAGUAACGCGUAUCCAACCUGCCCACCACUUGGGGAUAACCUUGCGAAAGUAAGACUAAUACCCAAUGAUAUCUCUAGAAGACAUCUGAAAGGGAUUAAAGAUUUAUCGGUGAUGGAUGGGGAUGCGUCUGAUUAGCUUGUUGGCGGGGUAACGGCCCACCAAGGCGACGAUCAGUAGGGGUUCUGAGAGGAAGGUCCCCCACAUUGGAACUGAGACACGGUCCAAACUCCUACGGGAGGCAGCAGUGAGGAAUAUUGGUCAAUGGACGAGAGUCUGAACCAGCCAAGUAGCGUGCAGGAAGACGGCCCUAUGGGUUGUAAACUGCUUUUAUAAGGGAAUAAAGUGAGUCUCGUGAGACUUUUUGCAUGUACCUUAUGAAUAAGGACCGGCUAAUUCCGUGCCAGCAGCCGCGGUAAUACGGAAGGUCCGGGCGUUAUCCGGAUUUAUUGGGUUUAAAGGGAGCGUAGGCCGGAGAUUAAGCGUGUUGUGAAAUGUAGACGCUCAACGUCUGCACUGCAGCGCGAACUGGUCUUCUUGAGUACGCACAACGUGGG